UAUAGUUGGAAGUAAAGUUUUUUUUAGUAAAUGUAAAAGAAUAGAAAUUAUAAUAAAUUGUUUUUUAGAUUAUAGUGUAAUUAAAUUAGAAUUUAGGAUUAAGAAUUUUAUUUAAAAUUGUUUAAUUAUAUGGAAAUUGAAUAAUUUGUUUUUGAAUGAUUAUUGGGUAUAUAACGAAAUGAAGGUAGAAAUAAAGAUGUUUUUUGAAAUUAAUGAGAAUAAAGAUAUAAUAUAUUAGAAUUUUUGGGAUAUAUUUAAAGUAGUGUGUAGAGGGAAAUUUAUAGUAUUAAAUGUUUAUAAGAGAAAGUAGGAAAGAUUUAAAAUUGAUAUUUUAAUAUUAUAAUUAAAAGAAUUAGAAAAGUAAGAGUAAAUAUAUUUAAAAGUUAGUAGAAGGUAAGAAAUAAUUAAAAUUAGAGUAGAAUUGAAGGAAAUAGAGAUAUAAAAAAUUUUUUAAAAAAUUAAUGAAUUUAGGAGUUGGUUUUUUGAAAAGAUUAAUAAAAUUGAUAGAUUGUUAGUAAGAUUAAUAAAGAAAAAAAGAGAGAAGAAUUAAAUAGAUAUAAUAAAAAAUGAUAAAGGGGAUAUUAUUAUUGAUUUUAUAGAAAUAUAAAUUAUUAUUAGAGAAUAUUAUAAAUAUUUUUAUGUAAAUAAAUUAGAAAAUUUAGAAGAAAUGGAUAAAUUUUUGGAUAUAUAUAUUUUUUUAAGAUUAAAUUAGGAAGAAGUUGAAUUUUUGAAUAGAUUAAUAAUAGGUUUUGAAAUUGAGGUAAUAAUUAAUAGUUUAUUAAUUAAAAAGAGUUUAGGAUUAGAUGGAUUUAUAGUUAAAUUUUAUUAGAGGUAUAAGGAGGAAUUGGUAUUAUUUUUUUUGAAAUUAUUUUAAUUAAUAGAAAAAGAGGGAAUUUUUUUUAAUUUAUUUUAUGAGGUUAGUAUUAUUUUGAUAUUAAAGUUUGGUAGAGAUAUAAUAAAAAAAGAGAAUUUUAGAUUAAUAUUUUUGAUGAAUAUUGAUGUAAAAAUUUUUAAUAAAAUAUUGGUAAAUUGAAUUUAGUAGUAUAUUAAAAAGUUUAUUUAUUAUGAUUAAGUGGGUUUUAUUUUUGGGAUGUAAGGUUGGUUUAAUAUAUGUAAAUUAAUAAAUGUAAUUUAGUAUAUAAAUAGAAUUAAAGAUAAAAAUUAUAUGAUUAUUUUAAUAGAUGUAGAAAAGGUUUUUGAUAAAAUUUAAUAGUUUUUUAUGUUAAAAAUUUUUAAUAAAUUAGGUAUUGAUGGGAUGUAUUUUAAAAUAAUAAGAGUUAUUUAUGAUAAAUUUAUAGUUAAUAUUAUAUUGAAUGGGUAAAAAUUGGAAGUAUUUUUUUUGAAAAUUGGUAUAAGAUAGGGAUGUUUUUUUUUAUUAUUUUUAUUUAAUAUAGUGUUGGAAGUUUUGGUUAGGGUAAUUAGGUAGGAGAAGGAAAUAAAGGGUAUUUAAUUAGGAAAAGAGGAAGUUAAAUUGUUUUUGUUUGUAGAUGAUAUGAUUGUAUAUUUAGAAAAUUUUAUUGUUUUAGUUUAAAAUUUUUUUAAGUUGAUAAGUAAUUUUAGUAAAGUUUUAGGAUAUAAAAUUAAUGUGUAAAAAUUAUAAGUAUUUUUAUAUAUUAAUAAUAGAUAAAUAGAGAGUUAAAUUAUGAGUGAAUUUUUAUUUAUAAUUGUUUUAAAGAGAAUAAAAUAUUUAGGAAUUUAAUUUAUAAGGGAUGUGAAGGAUUUUUUUAAGGAGAAUUAUAAAUUAUUGUUUAAUGAAAUAAAAGAGGAUAUAAAUAAAUGGAAGAAUAUUUUAUGUUUAUGGGUAGGAAGAAUUAAUAUCGUGAAAAUGGUUAUAUUGUUUAAGGUAAUUUAUAGAUUUAAUGUUAUUUUUAUUAAGUUAUUAAUGAUUUUUUUUAUAGAAUUGGAAAAAAUUAUUUUAAAGUUUAUAUGGAAUUAAAAAAGAGUUCGUAUUGUUAAGUUAAUUUUAAGUUAAAAGAAUAAAGUUGGAGGUAUUAUGUUAUUUGAUUUUAAAUUAUAUUAUAAGGUUAUAGUAAUUAAAAUAGUAUGGUAUUGGUAUUAAAAUAGAGAUAUAGAUUAAUGGAAUAGAAUAGAGUUUUUAGAAAUAAUGUUGUAUAUUUAUAAUUAUUUGAUUUUUGAUAAAUUUGAGAAAAAUAAGUAAUGGGGAAAGGAUUUUUUAUUUAAUAAAUGGUGUUGGGAAAAUUGGUUAGUUAUAUGUAGAAAGUUGAAAUUGGAUUUUUUUUUUAUAUUUUAUAUAAAAAUUAAUUUAAGAUGGAUUAAAGAUUUAAAUGUUAGAUUUAAAAUUAUAAAAAUUUUAGAAGAAAAUUUAGGUAUUAUUAUUUAGGAUAUAGGUAUGGGUAAGGAUUUUAUGUUUAAAAUAUUAAAAGUAAUGGUAAUAAAAGUUAAAAUUGAUAAAUGGGAUUUAAUUAAAUUAAAGAGUUUUUGUAUAGUAAAAGAAAUUAUUAUUAGAGUGAAUAGGUAAUUUAUAGAAUGGGAGAAAAUUUUUGUAAUUUAUUUAUUUGAUAAAGGGUUAAUAUUUAGAAUUUAUAAUGAAUUUAAAUAAAUUUAUAAGAAAAAAAUAAAUAAUUUUAUUAAAAAGUGGGUAAAGGAUAUGAAUAGAUAUUUUUUAAAAGAAGAUAUUUAUGUAGUUAAUAGAUAUAUGAAAAAAUGUUUAUUAUUAUUGGUUAUUAGAGAAAUGUAAAUUAAAAUUAUAAUGAGAUAUUAUUUUAUAUUAGUUAGAAUGGUUAUUAUUAAAAAGUUAAAAAAUAAUAGAUGUUGGUAAGGUUGUGGAGAAA
rnacentral:misc_RNA from 1 species